CGGUUCAAUGCAUUUGUAAUGAGGGGGCGCACUUCUGUGCAGUGUGCACAUUAGUCGACUCGUCGUUGCCAGCAGGCUGCACCCGACAGCCAAGGGAUUUACAUGUGGCAUAGCAAGUCUCUGAAGCAGUGUCUCACACUCGAGUCCUGACCGAGGGCCUUGAAACUGGCAUGCCUGUUCAAAACAUCUCCAGGACAACAAGGUUAUUUUGUGUUGACGUGUAUUGAAUUCUUAAGGGCAAAGAAGAUGAAGGAGAAUGCGUGCAGUGGGCUGAAUAGAGAAUUCGUGAAUCAAAGGCAACACCAUCAAAUGCAUUAUGAAAUUAAGCACUAUCAGGUUGUCAAGGCUGUAGUUCAGCGGGCACAUGGUCCUGGAUACCUGAUAUAUAUAUAUAUUUUUUUAAACUAUUUAUAUAUGGAAUCUGAAUGCACUCCAAGAAAUGCUGCAGUUCUUUGUGCCACAAGAGGCCAAGAAGCUCUACUACAAGAAGUUAAGGCAGAAGAUGAAGAUUAUUACAAAUUAUCCAAGUCAGUUCCGACCAAGUAAUUUGAUUGGACAAGAGGCAUUCCAGUGCUGAUAUAGAGUAUAACAGCACUGGGUCUUUUAACUAUACACGUAUCGCUCCGCUUUACGGGUGUUCUCAUAACCGUUAAUGUUAUUAACAAUCUUUUUGUAGCUUAGAUUGCAGCUAACUUUGCACAGCAAAUAUGAACAUGUUUCCAGGAAUAACAUUGGAGUUGAAUUAAGAAUGGUCGCCAGAAGAGGACCAAGGGAACCUAAUGUAAUGCUAAUGUGUUUAUGUGUUGCUUGGCAACAGUUUGACCAGUUGCGGAUCUAUUUGUGUUGGCGGUGCCAAAUAAAUCAUUAAUGAACCAAAGAAAUCUGAUCAUAAUAUGUUGUUAAUUAUUAUUGUUAACUAAUGAUUGGUGCUUGUAGAACUGUUGUAUAAAAGCAAUAUCACUCAGGAGGGAGUGCUUUUGUAAUACGGCUGGGAUUCGGUCGUAGGUAUGAGGCCGUUGGCCGAGUGCCGAAGAGAAUCACAGCCGUGCUGAUAUUCAGUACAACAGCACUCCCUCUCGUGUGAUAUUGCUUAAUUAUUCUGUUCCAAAAUUCCAUAAAAAGUCUGAUUACUAAGAAAUAUUGAUGUAUCAUUACUUUUGUCAGUUUCAAGUUUUUGUUUUAACACAGGUGUACCAACAAUGUGUAUGAUGUAUGACUACCUAAGCUGUACAUGUCUUUAACGAUAUUGAUGCGGAUAUUUCCACAUUUACAUUUCUCAGUGCAAAUGGGUUUUUGAAUAAGUUUCUGAAACUAGUGCUUUGAGAUAACAAACAUUUAAUAUGUUGGAAAUGUUUUUGAUCGCUGUGUCAUAAUUCAGCUUAAUAUUUAAUAUAUUGUUUCUUAUGGCACAUUAACGAGAAUGUCAAACUGGCACUGAAUGUUGAAAAGGUUGCUGACCCCUGGUUACUGUAUUCCCUCUCCCGCUCCAUUACAUGUAUGUUCGUUUAUUUCAAGUUAACUUGUUUUUCUGUGUUAUUGCAACCUUGCAACACAUUUCCAUUAAUGUAGUUUGUUUAUUCCUUAACAGUUUUCAAAAAACACAAUCAAAUGGGUAUUAAAACCUUAA